rnacentral:rRNA from 1 species
AGUCGAGGGGUAUAGUUCUUCGGAACUAGAGACCGGCGCACGGGUGCGUAACGCGUAUGCAAUCUACCUUUUACAGGGGAAUAGCCCAGAGAAAUUUGGAUUAAUGCCCCAUAGUAUAAUUUAUUCGCAUGAGUAGAUUAUUAAAGUUCCAACGGUAAAAGAUGAGCAUGCGUCCCAUUAGCUAGAUGGUAAGGUAACGGCUUACCAUGGCGACGAUGGGUAGGGGUCCUGAGAGGGAGAUCCCCCACACUGGUACUGAGACACGGACCAGACUCCUACGGGAGGCAGCAGUGAGGAAUAUUGGUCAAUGGACGCAAGUCUGAACCAGCCAUGCCGCGUGCAGGAUGACGGUCCUAUGGAUUGUAAACUGCUUUUGUACGAGAAGAAACACUGCUACGUGUAGCAGCUUGACGGUAUCGUAAGAAUAAGGAUCGGCUAACUCCGUGCCAGCAGCCGCGGUAAUACGGAGGAUCCAAGCGUUAUCCGGAAUCAUUGGGUUUAAAGGGUCCGUAGGCGGUUUAGUAAGUCAGUGGUGAAAGCCCAUCGCUCAACGGUGGAACGGCCAUUGAUACUGCUAAACUUGAAUUAUUAGGAAGUAACUAGAAUAUGUAGUGUAGCGGUGAAAUGCUUAGAGAUUACAUGGAAUACCAAUUGCGAAGGCAGGUUACUACUAAUGGA